rnacentral:lncRNA from 1 species
UAAAAUAACAUGGUGAAUAUUAUAAAGUAGUGUAUUGUAAAAUGUAAAAUUUUAGGUAAUAUUUACAUCAGCUACAGUUAAGGAGAACAAUUAAUACUAAAUUGUGGAAUUUUAUUUUUGAUGGUAGAUGUUUUUUGUAACUCAUGCUUACUAAUAUGUUUAUGCCUUUGCUGCAAAUUCUACCCCUAUUAUUGUGAUAGGAUGAUAUGCAAGUCAUAUUUCAAGAAGUUAGGAUGGACAAAUAAGGACCACGAAGACUCUAGCUGCCUUCAAGAAGUCAGGAUAAGAGGCCUUCAGCAAAUGUACCCUCAAUAAAGAGGAGAGCUAUACAAUUAUGUUCGGGAGUCAAGACUCAAGAAAACACUCAUUUGUUAAUUUAUUUCUCUAUUGAUGCUACAUGUUGCAUCAGGAUGCUAUGUGGAAUGUGUACUAUGAACCGUGAUAUGGAAUUGGCAUUGAUGUUUACUGAAAAUAUAUUCUGUUGGACAGUUGACUUGGUCAAUGGAAAAAUAGUCCCCAUAGAAUCGGG